rnacentral:rRNA from 1 species
GAUGAACGCUGGCGGCGUGCCUAAUACAUGCAAGUCGAGCGAACAGACGAGGAGCUUGCUCCUCUGACGUUAGCGGCGGACGGGUGAGUAACACGUGGAUAACCUACCUAUAAGACUGGGAUAACUUCGGGAAACCGGAGCUAAUACCGGAUAAUAUAUUGAACCGCAUGGUUCAAUAGUGAAAGACGGUUUUGCUGUCACUUAUAGAUGGAUCCGCGCCGCAUUAGCUAGUUGGUAAGGUAACGGCUUACCAAGGCAACGAUGCGUAGACGACCUGAGAGGGGGAUCGGCGACACUGGAGCUGAGACACGGUCCAGACUCCUAAGGGAGGCAGCAGUAGGGAAUCUUCCGCAAUGGGCGAAAGCCUGACGGAGCAACGCCGCGUGAGUGAUGAAGGUCUUCGGAUCGUAAAACUCUGUUAUUAGGGAAGAACAAAUGUGUAAGUAACUAUGCACGUCUUGACGGUACCUAAUCAGAAAGCCACGGCUAACUACGUG